GAUGAACGCUAGCUACAGGCUUAACACAUGCAAGUCGAGGGGAAACGGCAUCGAAAGCUUGCUUUUGAUGGGCGUCGACCGGCGCACGGGUGAGUAACGCGUAUCCAACCUGCCCAUCACUUGGGAAUAACCUUGCGAAAGUAAGACUAAUGCCCAAUGACAUCCCACGAAGGCAUCCGAAUGGGAUUAAAGAUUUAUCGGUGAUGGAUGGGGACGCGUCUGAUUAGCUUGUUGGCGGGGUGACGGCCCACCAAGGCAACGAUCAGUAGGGGUUCUGAGAGGAAGGUCCCCCACAUUGGAACUGAGACACGGUCCAAACUCCUACGGGAGGCAGCAGUGAGGAAUAUUGGUCAAUGGGCGAGAGCCUGAACCAGCCAAGUAGCGUGCAGGAUGACGGCCCUAUGGGUUGUAAACUGCUUUUAUAAGGGAAUAAAGUGGGUCACGUGUGACUUUUUGCAUGUACCUUAUGAAUAAGGACCGGCUAAUUCCGUG
rnacentral:rRNA from 1 species